UACGUAGGGGGCAAGCGUUGUCCGGAAUUAUUGGGCGUAAAGGGCGCGCAGGCGGUCUGUUAAGUCUGAUGUGAAAGGCCACGGCUCAACCGUGGGAUGGCAUUGGAAACUGGUAGACUUGAGUGCAGGAGAGGAGAGCGGAAUUCCCGGUGUAGCGGUGAAAUGCGUAGAGAUCGGGAGGAACACCAGUGGCGAAGGCGGCGUCCUGGCUCGCAUCUGACGCUCAGACACGACAGCAUGGGGAGCGAACGGG
rnacentral:rRNA from 1 species